rnacentral:tRNA from 1 species
CAAAGAGUAGUUUAAUAAGAAUCCUAGCUUUGGGAGCUAGGGGCGGGGGUGAGAGUCCCUUCUCUUUGA